rfam:Wickerhamomyces ciferrii, NRRL Y-1031 F-60-10, WGS project CAIF01000000 data, contig: 00136
GGUAACCUGGCCGAGUGGUCUAAGGCGCCAGGUUAAGGUCCUGGUCUCUUCGGAGGCGCGAGUUCGAACCUCGCGGUUAUCA